AGAGUUUGAUCAUGGCUCAGGACGAACGCUGGCGGUGCGCCUUAUGCAUGCAAGUCGAGCGAAGCUUUUCAGUAGUUUACUACAGAAAAUGACUGAGCGGCGAACGGGUGAGUAACGCGUGAGCAAUCUACCUUAGUUACAGGGAUAGCCCGAGGAAACUCGGAUUAAUACCUGAUAUUCUUUACAUUUCGCAUGAAAUCAAAAGGAAAGGUCAGCCGAACUAAGAUGAGCUCGCGUUCUAUCAGCUAGUUGGUGAGGUAAAAGCUCACCAAGGCAACGACGGAUAGCUGGUCUGAGAGGACGAUCAGCCACACUGGGACUGAGACACGGCCCAAACUCCUACGGGAGGCUGCAGCAGGGGAAUAUUGCGCAAUGAGCGAAAGCUUGACGCAGCGACACCGCGUGUGGGAUGACGGAUCUAGGUUUGUAACCACUUUCAGGAGGGGAAGAAAAUGACGGUACCUCCCCAAGAAGCCCCGGGCNACUACGUGCCAGCAGCCGCGGGUAAUACGUAGGGGGGCGAGCGUUGUCCGGAUUUAUUGGCCGUAAGAGCUCGUAGGCGGUUCAC
rnacentral:rRNA from 1 species